rnacentral:rRNA from 1 species
UUGGAGGGCAAGUCUGGUGCCAGCAGCCGCGGUAAUUCCAGCUCCAAUAGCGUAUAUUAAAGUUGUUGCAGUUAAAAAGCUCGUAGUUGAAUUUCGGGGUUCUACCGUUGGUCGGGCUUUGUCUGUACUGGUGUGUAGAAUUUCUACCUUCUGGGGAACCAUCAUGCUAUUAAUUUAGCGUGGUGGGAAACCAGGACCUUUACCUUGAAAAAAUUAGUGUGUUCAAAGCAGGCUUAUGUCUGAAUACAUUAGCGUGGAAUAAUAGAAUAGGACGGUGGUCCUGUUUUGUUGGUUUCUGAAUCACCGUAAUGAUUAAUAGGGAUAGUUGGGGGCAUUAGUAUUCAAUUGUCAGAGGUGAAAUUCUUGGAUUUAUUGAAGACUAACUACUGCGAAAGCAUUUGCCAAGGAUGUUUUCAUUAAUCAAGAACGAAAGUUAGGGGAUCGAAGACGAUCAGAUACCGUCGUAGUCGUAACCAUAAACUAUGCCGACUAGGGAUCGGAUGAUGUUAAUUUUUUAAUGACUCGUUCGGCGCCUUACGGGAAAC